GGGAAUAUUGGACAAUGGGGGCAACCCUGAUCCAGCAAUGCCGCGUGUGUGAAGAAGGCCUGCGGGUUGUAAAGCACUUUUAUCAGGAAAGAACCUGCCUGGGACUAAUAAGCCCAGGCACUGACGGUACCUGAGGAAUAAGCACCGGCUAACUCCGUGCCAGCAGCCGCGGUAAUACGGAGGGUGCAAGCGUUAAUCGGAAUUACUGGGCGUAAAGGGCGCGUAGGCGGUAUGCCAAGUCAGGGGUGAAAGGCCUGGGCUCAACCCAGGAACUGCCUUUGAAACUGGCAAACUAGAGUCCGAAAGAGGAUGGCGGAAUUCCCAGUGUAGAGGUGAAAUUCGUAGAUAUUGGGAAGAACACCAGUGGCGAAGGCGGCCAUCUGGAUCGGCACUGACGCUGAGGCGCGAAAGCGUGGGGAGCAAA
rnacentral:rRNA from 1 species